UAGUUCUAAGGGAAGUGAGAUGAUUUGU
rnacentral:piRNA from 1 species